rnacentral:rRNA from 1 species
CUUAUGGGCGCCUAUGGAUGGGGCUGCGUCCCAUCAGCUAGUUGGUGAGGUAAUGGCUCACCAAGGCUACGACGGGUAACCGGUCUGAGAGGAUGACCGGUCACAGCGGGACUGAGACACGGCCCGCACCCCUACGGGGGGCAGCAGUGGGGAAUAUUGGGCAAUGGCCGAAAGGCUGACCCAGCGACGCCGCGUGGUGGAUGAAGCCCUUCGGGGUGUAAACACCUUUUCUGGGGGAAGAUAAUGACGGUACCCCAGGACUAAGGGACGGCUAACUACGUGCCAGCAGCCGCGGUAAUACGUAGGUCCCGAACGUUGCGCGAAUUAACUGGGCGUAAAGGGUCCGUAAGCGGUUUAGCAAGUGGUUGGUGAAAUUUCACGGCUCAACCGUGAAACUGACUUCCAAACUGCUAAACUUGAGGCAGGGAGAGGUCGGCGGACUUCCCGGUGUAGCGGUGAAAUGCGUACAUAUCGGGAGGAACACCAGUGGCGAAGGCGGCCGACUGGAACUGUCCUGACGCUGAGGGACGAAAGCUAGGGGAGCAAACCGGAUUAGAUACCCGGGUAGUCCUAGCCGUAAACGAUGGAUGCUAGAUGUGGGCUACGAAUGUAGUCCGUGCCGUAAGCUAACGCGUUAAGCAUCCCGCCUGGGGAGUACGGCCGCAAGGUUGAAACUCAAAGGAAUUGACGGGGACCCGCACAACCGGUGGAGCGUCUGGUUUAAUUCGAUGCUAACCGAAAAACCUUACCAGGGUUUGACAUGCGGUGUGUCGGGUAUGAAAGUACCCUAGGCUAUGAUUAUUCAUAGCCGCGCCGCACAGGUGGUGCAUGGUCGUCGUCAGCUCGUGUCGUGAGAUGUUGGGUUAAGUCCCGCAACGAGCGCAACCCUUGUCCUGUGUUACCAGCGGGUAAUGCCGGGUACUCACAGGAGACUGCCGGCGAUAAGCCGGAGGAAGGAGGGGAUGACGUCAGAUCAGUAUGCCCUUUAUGCCCUGGGCUACACAGGCGCUACAGUGGCAGGGACAAUGGGCUGCAACGCUGUAAGGCGGAGCUAAUCCCGUAAACCCUGUCGUGGUGCAGAUUGAGGGUUGCAACUCACCCUCAUGAAGGCGGAAUCGGUAGUAAUGGCGAAUCAGCAAUGUCGCCGUGAAUACGUUCCCGGGUCUUGUACACACCGCCCGUCACGCCAUGGGAGUCGGGUUCAUCGGAAG